ACACCAGCGGGCUGCAGCCGGAGGAACUCGCCUGCGGCUGCUUCACACUUUCCUCCCGCGUCCUGAAAUAUGAGCGUUUCUCCACAAGGUCAUGUUUACAGUACGCGUCGUGUUCGGCUUCCUGACACUCAUGUGUCAGGCUCUGUGGCGCAAUGGAUAGCGCAUUGGACUUCUAGUUGAUUCUCAGAGACGUCAUUCAAAGGCUGUGGGUUCGAGUCCCACCAGAGUCGAGACUUUUGACGUGUCGAAGUGACAGUGAACUCUGUGUGACUCACUGCUUUUUCAUAAACAGGCUCACCACUUCACGGGUCGGCGGCUCCUCACACGGAUCUCCUUCAGCCACAAGAUCAUUUGGCUUCGGUCGUGCAGUUCAUGAUUCUAUUUCAAAUGUGAUCAACGUCAAACUUCAUUCGCUGACGUGGCGUUUACACGAGUUCUGCUGCUGCAGCCACAUUUUGAAACAGUUUCAAAAAGGCCGUGAUAAGUCCGUCCUCAGGAGGCAUCUCGGGGAUGAAAACCCAAUCUGCUCCACACGCCAGGGCGCUGACCAGGGCCAGUGAACUGAAGAUCUUUGGUGUGUGGACGAAACAAAACCUCAUCUUGGUGGUUUUUGGGAAACACGAUGGACGUUUUUCACCAUUUUAUGACGUUUUAAGGACCAAACAACUGACCGAGGAAUCGAGAAAAUGAUCGGCCGAUGCAUCGAUACGUGGCUGCUGCUGUUGCACCAUUAGAUCCUGUCUGAGCACCACGGACACACAAUAGAAGAAAUCCAAUUAAUAUGAAUUAUUAAUAAGAAAAACAAUGAUGAUGUGAGAUGACAUGAUAAAAACAUUCACUUUUUUUCAUUUCCUGUUCACCACCUCCCAUUUCCCUCCUCCACCGCAGACCCGCUGCUCCUCACGUAGGCAACGAACCUCCCUGACGACACGCACACAUACACACACACACUCUCACACACACACACACACACACACACACACUCACACACUCUCACUCUCACACACACACACACACACACACACACACACACACACACACACACACACACACACACACACACAGGAAGCCGGCAGAGUCCGCCUUCAAAAUAAAAGCCACAUAAAAGCCACAUUUAUCGACGAUUUCCAUCGUCCAUAAAUCUAUCGAUUUUUUUCUCCACUAAUCGAUUAGUUGUUUGGUCCAUAAAAUGUCAUAAAGUGGUGAAAAAUGAGGAUCGUGUUUCCUUUCUUUCUGGUUCUUCGUGGAAAUCCUUUCAGUCAACCUGCUGCCCGACAAACAAACUAACAAACAAACG